CACUUCGGGCCGCUCAUCGAGGGCGACGUGGGCGAGUUCCUCCGUGGCCGCCGCGCAGGACGGCGCCUGGGCCGGCUACCCCGAGCUGCUGGCCAUGGGCGCAUGCUGAACCUCAACAUCCACCUGACGACGGGGGGCCGCUGGGAGAGCCCCACCGUGUCCACCAUGGUCCACUACCUGGGGCCCCGAGGACGCCCUGAGGCCCAGCAUCUGGCUCAGCUGGCUCAGCAACGGCCACUACGACGCGGUGUUCGACCGCUGCUACCCCCAACCCGGAGUACGAGCGCUGGUGCCGGCAGACGCAGGCGCAGCGGCAGCGCGACGAGGAGCUGGCCAGGUCCAUGGCCGUGUCCCUGUCCAAGAUGUACAUCCAGCAGAACGCGUGCUCGUGAGCCCCCCUCCCCCGGGGGGCGGGGCGCCCGGGUUUGUGGGGGUGCCAUAGCCAAGGUGGUCUUGGAGCAGCCGUCAGACAACCAAGGGAUUGUGUAGGCCUGGUGUCAGCCUGCAGGGCUUCCUUCCAUGGAACCAGUUCAUCCAGUUAAUUCUCCCUGGGCGCUGAGACUCCUGGGGAGGGAGUCACGACGGUGGGGUUUCUUCUAGAUCUCUCUAGGCAGGGUCUCUGCCUGCACCUGUUCUUCCCCAGCACCCUCAGUUAGCAGCACAUCAGUGUGUCCUGUUGGGGGUGGCCUUUCCCAAACACUUCAAAUUGAACCUGCUUUGUAGCUUUGCCUUCAGGUUUAAUGGGUUUUUUUUAUUUAUUUAUUUAAUUUUAUUUAUUUGAAAGAAAGAGAGUCUUCCAUCCUCUGGUUCACUCUCCAAAUGGCCACAUAACCAGGGCCAGGCCAAGCCAAAACUGGGAACUUUGAGGUUCAUCUGGGUCUCUCAUGUGGGUGGUACUCCCACUACUUUCCCAGGCCAUUAGCAAAGAGUGGAAUCGGAAGUGGAGCAAAGCCAGGACUUGAGCCAGCGCUGCAGUGUGGCAUCUGGGUUCCCACAGAGCGGCAUAACCCACUACCCAACAACUCUGGCCUGUAGGUUUACUCUCAAGUGCCCAGUUUAUGCUUAUUCUGAUUUAAGUUUGUGGUUUUAUUUAUUUAUUUUAGUAUUGACUGGUAUUGCACCUCAUCAUAUUUAUCAAUAGGUUUUGCUUUUCUUUAUUGAUGCAAAUGUUUUAUCAUUUUUUUAAAGAUUUAUUUUAUUUAUUUGAAAGACAGACUUACAGAGACAGGUAGAGCCAGAGAGAGAGACAGGUCUUCCAUCCACUGGUUCAUUCCCCAAAUGGCCGCCAAUGGUCAGAGCUGAGUUGUGCUGAUCCGAAGCCAGGAGCCAGGAGCUUCUUCCAGGUCUCCCACAGGGAUGCAGGGGCCCAAGGACCUGGAUCAUCUUCUACUGCUUUCCCAGGCCACAGCAGAGAGCUGGAUCAGAAGAGGAGCAGCCAGGACUAGAACCAGUGCCCAUAUGGGAUGCUGGCACUUCAGGCCAGGGUGUUAACCCUCUGCGCCACAGCCCAGCCCCCAAAUAUUUUAUCUUAAUACAGGUUUGAGCACCUCAGUUAGAAAACCUGAGAUCUAAAAUGCUCCAAAAUCUGAACGUUUUAAGUGCAGCUAUGAGGUCACAGUAGAAAAAUGCCACACCUGCCCUCAUGGAAGAGGUCACAGCCCAAAGGCAGGUGCACGGGGGCUACUGUGCAGACUUACCUUCAGGCACUGUGUGUAGGGUAUCUGGCCCCAUCGCCAAGAGAGCUCCUUAUGUAAAUGCAGGUCUUCUAAAAUGCGAAAUCUGGGAUUUCAGAUAAGGGACGUGCAGCCUGUCUUUCAGCAUUUGUGUAUUGAACAUUGAAAAUGUAUCUUGAAACUUGAAAAUUACAAGUGCUUUGGAAAGGUAUGAAUAUUAAGUAGUGUCCAUUUCGACGCUGAUGUUUCCUUAUUUAUUUAUGUAUGUAUUUGAAAGGGAGAGCCAUGGAGAAAGAGCAAGAGAGAUCCUCUGUUUGCUGGUUCGCUCCCAAAAAGGCUGCAACAACUAAGCCAAAGCCAGAAGCCAGGAACUCCAUCGCGGUCUCCCACCGGGGACACAGAGGCCCAAGCACUUGGGCCAUAACUCACUGCUUUCCCAGGUGCGUUAGCAGGGGGCCGGACUGGAAGUGCAGCAGCUGGGAUACGGAUGCUGGUGUUGCUUAACUUGUUGCACUACAGUGCUGCCCCCACCGCUUAUGUUUCCUUUCAAUUGGCCUAAAAAUAUCAAAACUAUGUUUAGGAUGGACACAACUUGUUUUUGGGCUACGGAACUUUUAAGUGAAAUUUUGAUCAUCUUUGGUUCUAAAGAACCAUGUGUGUCUUUGAUAUAAUAUUUUGUUUUAUUUACCUCAUCUUUUUUUAAAUGUUAUUUUUUAAAAGAUUUAUUUAUUUAUGUAUUGGACAGGCAGAGUUAGAGAGAGAGGAGGGGAGACUUCCACCCACUGGUUCACUCCCCAAAUGGCUGCAAUGGUAGGGACUGAGCCAGGUUGAAGCCAGGAGCCAAGAACUCCAUCCGGGUCUCCCACGCGGGUGCAGGGGCCCAAGGACUUGGGCCAUCCUCUACUGCUCUCCCAGGCUCAUUAACAGGGAGCUGGAUUGGAAGUGGAGCCCGGGACUCAAACCAGGGCUUCUAUGAGAUGCCAGUGUUGCAGCCAGCGGCUUAACCCUCUGCACCUCUACCUGGCCCAUCUUUAAAACAUUUUUGUUUUCAUUUUAUGAGAAAGAGAGAGAGAGAGAGCUCGCAUUGACUGAUUUAUUCCCCAAAUGCCCACAACAGGCAGGGCUGAAGCCAGUGGCCAGGAACUCCGUCCAGGUCUCCUACGUGGGUGGCGGGGGCCCAGGUACCUGAGCCGUCACCUGCUGCCUCCCAGGGUGUGUGUGAGCAGAAAGCUGGCUGGGACAUAGCGGAGCCAGAGCUCCAGGCAGGCUCUCUGACAGGGCACGUCGCUGGCCGUGGUGUUGAAGUGGCUGCACCAAAUGCCUCAUCCAGUAUAACGUCUCAGCCACCCAAUUUGGUCUUGUGUUUGGGAAGCAUCAGUUCCAGCAUCGUGAGUCUUAGAAGGGUCAUCCCUUGAAACGGAAGACGAAGUUGAAACAGAGAAGUUCCCAGCACCAGGGGCAGUGCAGGGUCAGCACCCAGCCUGCUUCGUCUGCAGCCCGCUGGCUGUAGGUUUCAGGACGCGCGUUUUUCAUUAACUGGUGGUGGCCGCCAGGAGCCCUGUGUGGAGCCAGCAUCCCGUGCAGACUCUUAAUUAACUGAAGGAUGCCAGGACAUUUCUCCCCAAAUGCGCAGGACUGUCAGAGUGAAGAUCCUAAACAGCAGGUGGACCGUGUUGGCCUCCAAGCAGGACAGAGGCUCCCAAAGACAACAGGUCUCCCUCUCCCUGCCUCCCCGCUUUCCAGACUAAAGGUGAGAUGUGAGUUCCCGCUUAGCUCAGACACCUGGCUCUCUUCCCGCCAGCUUACCUUCCCCACCGCUGAAGCUCAGUACUGCCCUCCUCUCUCGUCACUUCUUUAGACUCCAUUGCUCUUUGUUGAACUCCUGUGUAAGGUAAGGCCCAAGCCUCCUGUGUGAUACGGCCCCUGCAUGCAUUAAUACACCUGCUGGUUUCUCUGCUGUUAAUCUGUCUUCUUACAGGAAACUGUCCCAUCUAGGAACUUAAGGAUUGAGGUAAACUUUUAUUCUGGGGGGCAGACAGCUGGUGCAGUGGUUAACACACCCCUUGGGACUCCCCCAUCCAUAUCAAGGCGUCCUGGGUUCAAGUCUCAACUCUGUUCCCAAUUCCAGCUUCCUGCUUUGCAUAUGCUGGGAGGCAGCAGGUGAGAGCUCAGGGACUUGGGUCCCUGCACCCACAUGGGGGACCCGGGUGGAGCUCCAGGCUCCCGGCUUCACCCUGGCCCAGCCCCUGGUGCCUUCUGGGGAGUGACCCAGUAGGUAGGAGAUGUCUCUGUCUCCGCCUCACUGUAACAGUGCCUUUCAAUAAAUAAAUACCUUAAAACA
ensembl:lncRNA